GCGUCCAUGAUGUAGUGGUAGCCUACUGCCUUGCCAUGGCGGAAGUGCGAGUUCGAUUCUCGCUGGACGCU
rnacentral:tRNA from 1 species